rnacentral:rRNA from 1 species
GAUGAACGCUAGCUACAGGCUUAACACAUGCAAGUCGAGGGACCGGCGCACGGGUGAGUAACACGUAUCAAACCUGCCCUUUACUCGGGGAUAGCCUUUCGAAAGAAAGAUUAAGACACGAUGGAAAGGAUGGGGAUGAGUUCCAUUAGGUUGUUGGUGAGGUCACGGCUCACCAAGCCUUCGAUGGAUAGGUGAUCUGAGAGGAAGGUCCCCCACAGUGGAACUUCGACACGGUCCAAACUCCUACUGGAGGCAGCAGUGAUGAAUAUUUGUCAAUGGGCGUUAGCCUGAACCAGCCAAGUAGCGUGAAGGAUGAAGGCUUAUGGGUCGUAAACUUCUUUUAUAUAAGAAUAUGUAUUAUAUGAAUAAGGAUCGGCUAACUACGUGCCAGCAGCCGCGGUAAUAC